GCGCUCCGCUCGGGUGCUGGAAUUGCUGAGACGUUUCCCUGCACGCGCCCGGGUAACACUGCGGGGGCUGCUGCCCAGGCCCACACCCCCAGCGCUCCCCGCACCCCUCCCGGAGCCCACCACCCGGGGCGACUGAGCGAGCGUUCCACUGCACGAGUUACUUGCACUGGAAGGUGGGGGAGAUCCCUGCCAGUCAACCCCUGUCUAUGGGUUGGUUCCUGCAUAAGCCUGUUUUCUAUUUUAAAGCAUGUCUCAAGGGGGAAAAAAAGAGAGAAAGAAGAGAGUGAGAAGGUUCACCCCGGACUCUGCAAACCUGGAAAGGCUGGUCCCUGAUUCCCUGAUCUCAGGGUUUGUUACGUAAUAAGUUGGAUUGUUAAUUCUGAAGGUCUUGCCCGGGCAUCAGAGAAGCAGGAGGCCAAGGGCAAAACGGCCAUGUAGAACCCCGCCAUCACCAUCAAG
rnacentral:lncRNA from 1 species